rnacentral:rRNA from 1 species
UACGAGGGGGGGCAAGCGUUGCUCGGAAUCACUGGGCGUAAAGGGUGCGUAGGCGGGUCUUUAAGUCAGGGGUGAAAUCCUGGAGCUCAACUCCAGAACUGCCUUUUGAUACUGAGGAUCUUGAGUUCGGGAGAGGUGAGUGGAACUGCGAGUGUAGAGGUGAAAAUUCGUAGAUAUUCGCAAGAACACCAGUGGCGAAGGCGCUCACUGGCCCGAUACUGACGCUGAGGCACGAAAAGCG